CAGCAGCCGCGGGAAUACGUAGGUCCCGAGCGUUGUCCGGAUUUAUUGGGCGUAAAGCGAGCGCAGGCGGUUAGAUAAGUCUGAAGUUAAAGGCUGUGGCUUAACCAUAGUACGCUUUGGAAACUGUUUAACUUGAGUGCAAGAGGGGAGAGUGGAAUUCCAUGUGUAGCGGUGAAAUGCGUAGAUAUAUGGAGAAACACCGGUGGCGAAAGCGGCUCUCUGGCUUGUAACUGACGCUGAGGCUCGAAAGCGUGGGGAGCAAACAGGAUUAGAUACCCGUGUAGUCCCUGUCUCUUAUACA
rnacentral:rRNA from 1 species